rnacentral:rRNA from 1 species
UACGUAGGGGGCAAGCGUUGUCCGGAUUUAUUGGGCGUAAAGAGCGUGUAGGCGGCCAUACAGGUCCGUUGUGAAAACUGGAGGCUUAACCUCCAGACGUCGAUGGAAACCGUAUGGCUAGAGUCCGGAAGAGGAGAGUGGAAUUCCUGGUGUAGCGGUGAAAUGCGCAGAUAUCAGGAAGAACACCCGUGGCGAAGGCGGGUCUCUGGGCAGUAACUGACGCUGAGGAGCGAAAGCGUGGGGAGCGUACAGA